GGCGCUUGUUCUUGCCGACCGCCAUGGUGCCGCCCUGGAGCCAAAGAGGCCGAAGCCCCCCAGCAACGCGAGAUUAUACGAGAGAGGUCCCCAAGAGAACUUUGGAUUCAAUACUGGCAAGUAACAUGCCCCAAAACACAGCAGUCUCAUAAAAGUGAUUCUGAUGACAAGCUACUGUGGCCGAAGACGAGGUAUCUCCUGACAUGCCUUGGAGUUUGCAAGCAAUUACGGGUGACAUCUAAAGCUUAAGCUAAAGAAAAGUUGAGCUAAAUCGGCUUGUUUUGUUCAAUAUCAACAUAAUUUCUUGACAGACUGAAGAUUCAAAUUCUAGUAUCACCAAUGACAGGCUCUCACUGUAAAUUCAUUUAUUAAUUCACAGAUGUUUAAAAAUAUAUCUGUAAGCCAGUAAUCAUGAACACCAAAUAUGCGAUGCGGGAACAUGAAAGAAAAAUACUCAGAUUUCAGUUAAAAACAAAAGUAAAUAAAAUGCUUUAAGUUGAUCAAAAUGCUCGUUUAAAUGAGAUAGCAUUAUAAAAUAUGAACCAAAAUGAAGUGAUUACUAUUUAACACAUGCUGCAGAAAUCUCCUCACCAAAUUAAGAGUCUCCUUCUGACAAAGAUAAAUCUCUAUUUCAAAAUUAAGUUGUUCAGUUUUUAAAAUGAGUAAACAGAAUGACUUGGGUAAUUAUAGGCCUGUCAGCCUGAUAUCAGUCCCAGGCAUGAUAAUGGAGAGGUUGAUAAGGGACUUGAUUAAUAAAGAAUUAAAGGAGGGUAAUAUAAUUAAUGCAAAUCAGCCUGGGUUUAUGGAAAAUAGAUCUUGUCAAACUAACUUGAUAUCUACUUUUGAUGAGAUUACGAGUUUGGUUGACAAAGGUAAUAGUGCUGAUAUAAUAUACUUACACUUGUGUAAGGUGUUUUACUUGGUAGUGCAUGGCAUUUUGAUUAAAAAAUUAGAAUGAUAUAAAAUUAACAUGUCACACAUUAAAGGGAUUAAAAACUGGAGAACUGAUAAGACUCAAAACGUAACUGUAAAUGAGGAAUCAUCAAUGUGUGGUUGUAUUUAUUUAUGUAUUUAUUUUACUAUAAUUGAACUCUAGUGUAGUGAUGUGUAAAGUAAAAUCUAAUAAAUUGGCGUACACAGUUCCUUUGAAAAUGGAGGAUCUGGGAUAUCUGUGAUCAGGGCUGGACACCAUCCAGGGACACUUUCAAGGGACCCAAGGGUUGGGAUACAUCUAUUGUCAACUGGAGAGGCAUAAGCCUCAUUUCCAUUCCACUUUCCUGAUAGUAAGGAGAGGGCAAGGACAUUGAAAACCCUGAGGUGUGAAGCUAAGCCCCAUAAACAAGGGUUAGGAACUGGACUGAAAAGCCUUCCUGCUGGGAGGCAAGGCAGGAAACUGGGUGUGCUACCCACUAGGCCACCUGGCCCUCCGAGGACUCGAUUAUAUCAACCUGCAGGGGCAAAGGUAAGGCUGGCAUAACUGAGAGGAGAGUGCUUGAGUGCUGAUAGGGUGGUUAUGUUCGGGAGCUGACACAAGUUAGCUCGCACAGUCAAGACUCAUGCUGUAAGCAGGAAGCAACAAAGUGACUCACAGCCCUGUGUGCCUUGAGAAGCGUCACAACCACUCACACCCAUUUACUUAGGCUUUGCCCAUGGAAAGAGCAUAUGAUCUGUGGAGGAUUAUGAAUAUUUGUUUUCUCAACUCUGUUUGCAGAACAGCAUUAUUGUAUGUGCACUGCAUUCAGUUUUCUCUAGCUCAUCUUGCAGACUGAGUUAAAAUGGAAUAUUGCACACUGGAUAGUCAGAGAUCAGUGAGGACUUGUGUGGUUUCCUGUUCCCAGAAGUAGCCACAGAAAGGAUGACUGUUUGCUCAUUGAUUUUAAUGGGAACUUCCAAUGCUCACAUACAAGGGGUUGAAUUUUGUCUUGGUGCAAUUUUAAGAAUCUCAGAGACUAACACAGCUGCAAGUGGCAGCCAAAAUCACUUUAGGGAGUGGUUGAUGAGCGCCUCAUGAACCAAAACACACAUGUAUUUACAUCAUUUACCACACUGCUUUUUUAUUUGUAUAUUUCAUUUGCAGUUCCUUUUCUGUUCAAUAAGAGGAAUGAUGGGUUGCAAUAUGGUCAAUGUUACAGACAAAAAUUGGGGUAAUUUGUGAGAUAGGCCUCAGUAGUGAUACAAGAGGUCUCUCACAGAAAAGUCUUCAAGAAUUCAAUAGAGAAUUAGAACCUUUCUACAGAAUUUCUAGAGCAACCUAUCAGGGCCACAAGCUCUGAAGUAAACUUGAUGUCCAGACAUCUUCUCAGAGGCUGUUAAAGGGCUUGGACCAUGGCAGUGGCUGCUUGUAUAUGAGCAUCCACAUCUUUCAAAAAAACUUCCUCCACCAACACGGUCUAUCGAGCUUCCAAAGUGUUUGACAGUUGCCACCUGCUUCAUAUCCCAUCUGGACAGGUUAACACUGAACAAUUGUAAUCUGGAGCCUGGAGGCUGCUUGAUGGUGAUGGUAAGGGACUUCAUUUUAUCUGUAUUAGUAACCAGACCAAUUGCACGCUGCUUCUUGCCUGACCAGACUGGCCAUCCGCUGAAGCAAUUCACCAGACUGACCCAACACAACAAUUCAGUCAAUUGUCCUUGAAGCUAAAAUGGCCAAAAGUUUGUGUCUACCAUUGAGGUGAAAAUGACCAAUCAAACCAAUGAAAUGUCAUUUAUUUUAAGACCAUGUCAUUGCUCAGGUAAAACUCUCAUUGGCCCCUUUGGAGUUUUGCCUGAGUCAGGACUUCAAGACUGGAAAGAGAUUUGAACAUUUGUUCCCCUGCUUCUCAGAAAAACAAAAUAAAAUCAGUCCCCUCUGACUGGAGGAAGUUAUGAAACAUAUUUUGGGAUUUUUUAAAAAAUCUAUGCAUAGACAGACAGACCACACCUACAUUUCUGAAAUGAGCA